rnacentral:rRNA from 1 species
CCUACGGGUCGCAGCAGUGGGGAAUAUUGCACAAUGGGCGCAAGCCUGAUGCAGCCAUGCCGCGUGUAUGAAGAAGGCCUUCGGGUUGUAAAGUACUUUCAGCGGGGAGGAAGGCGAUAAGGUUAAUAACCUUGUCGAUUGACGUUACCCGCAGAAGAAGCACCGGCUAACUCCGUGCCAGCAGCCGCGGUAAUACGGAGGGUGCAAGCGUUAAUCGGAAUUACUGGGCGUAAAGCGCACGCAGGCGGUCUGUCAAGUCGGAUGUGAAAUCCCCGGGCUCAACCUGGGAACUGCAUUCGAAACUGGCAGGAUGGAGUCUUGUAGAGGGGGGUAGAAUUCCAGGUGUAGCGGUGAAAUGCGUAGAGAUCUGGAGGAAUACCGGUGGCGAAGGCGGCCCCCUGGACAAAGACUGACGCUCAGGUGCGAAAGCGUGGGGAGCAAACAGGAUUAGAUACCCGAGUAGUCA